AUUGAACGCUGGCGGCAGGCUUAACACAUGCAAGUCGAGCGGGGAGAUUGCUUCGGUAAUUGACCUAGCGGCGGACGGGUGAGUAAUACUUAGGAAUCUGCCUAUUAAUGGGGGACAACAUCUCGAAAGGGAUGCUAAUACCGCAUACGCCCUACGGGGAAAGCAGGGAUCACUUGUGACCUUGCGUUAAUAGAUGAGCCUAAGUCGGAUUAGCUAGUUGGUGGGGUAAAGGCCUACCAAGGCGACGAUCUGUAGCGGGUCUGAGAGGAUGAUCCGCCACACUGGGACUGAGACACGGCCCAGACUCCUACGGGAGGCAGCAGUGGGAAUAUUGGACAAUGGGGGAACCCUGACCCAGCCAUGCCGCGUGUGUGAAGAAGGCCUUAUGGUUGUAAAGCACUUUUAAGCGAGGAGGAGGCUCCUGUAGUUAAUACCUACAGAGAGUGGACGUUACUCGCAGAAUAAGCACCGGCUAA
rnacentral:rRNA from 1 species